UUGGAAACGACGGCUAAUACCGGAUGCCUUCACAUGGUCGCAUGGCCGAGUGAAGAAAUGCUCAGGCGCUCUAGGAGGGUCUCGCGGCCUAUCAGCUAGUUGGUGAGGUAACGGCUCACCAAGGCAUCGACGGGUAGCUGGUCUGAGAGGACGAUCAGCCACACUGGGACUGAGACACGGCCCAGACUCCUACGGGAGGCAGCAGUGGGGAAUAUUGCGCAAUGGGCGAAAGCCUGACGCAGCAACGCCGCGUGUGGGAUGACAGCUUUCGGGUUGUAAACCACUUUCAGUGACGACGAAAAUGACGGUAGUCACAGAAGAAGGUCCGGCCAACUACGUGCCAGCAGCCGCGGUAACACGUAGGGACCAAGCGUUGUCCGGAUUUAUUGGGCGUAAAGAGCUCGUAGGCGGUUCCGUAAGUCGGAUGUGAAAACUCAGGGCUCAACCCUGAGACGCCAUCUGAUACUGCGGUGACUAGAGUCCGGUAGGGGAGCAUGGAAUUCCUGGUGUAGCGGUGGAAUGCGCAGAUAUC
rnacentral:rRNA from 1 species